GUCUGGCGACCGGCGCACGGUGAGUAACACGUAUCCAACCUGCCCUUUACUCGGGGAUAGCCUUUCGAAAGAAAGAUUAAUACCCGAUAGUAUAAUGAUUCCGCAUGGUUUCAUUAUUAAAGGAUUCCGGUAAAGGAUGGGGAUGCGUUCCAUUAGGUUGUUGGUGAGGUAACGGCUCACCAAGCCUUCGAUGGAUAGGGGUUCUGAGAGGAAGGUCCCCCACAUUGGAACUGAGACACGGUCCAAACUCCUACGGGAGGCAGCAUG
rnacentral:rRNA from 1 species